rnacentral:rRNA from 1 species
AGCCUGCCCAGUGACUAAGUUAAACGGCCGCGGUACCCUAACCGUGCAAAGGUAGCGCAAUCACUUGUUCUUUAAAUGAGGACUAGUAUGAACGGCAUCACGAGGGUUAUACUGUCUCCCUAUUCCAAUCAGUGAAACUGAUCUUCCCGUGAAGAAGCGGGAAUAAAUAUAUAAGACGAGAAGACCCCAUGGAGCUUUAAACUCAGUACCACCUGCUAUUUUCAAAUCCUAUUAAUCACGCAGACAUGGUAACUAGUUUUCGGUUGGGGUGACCGCGGAGCAAAACAAAACCUCCACAACGAAAGGAACUAACAACCUAAUCCAAGAGCAACAUCUCUAAGAAUUAAAAAAUUAACUUAAUUGAUCCAAUUACUUGAUCAACGAACCAAGUUACCCUGGGGAUAACAGCGCAAUCCAUUUAAAGAGCUCUUAUCGACAAAUGGGUUUACGACCUCGAUGUUGGAUCAGGGUAUCCCAGUGGCGCAGCAGCUACUAAAGGUUCGUUUGUUCAACGAUUAAA